rnacentral:rRNA from 1 species
CCUACGGGGUGCAGCAGUGGGGAAUAUUGGACAAUGGGCGAAAGCCUGAUCCAGCCAUGCCGCGUGUGUGAAGAAGGCCUUCGGGUUGUAAAGCACUUUCAGUGGGGAAGAAAGCCUUGGGGCUAAUACCCUCGAGGAAGGACAUCACCCACAGAAGAAGCACCGGCUAACUCCGUGCCAGCAGCCGCGGUAAUACGGAGGGUGCGAGCGUUAAUCGGAAUUACUGGGCGUAAAGCGCGCGUAGGCGGUCUGAUAAGCCGGUUGUGAAAGCCCCGGGCUCAACCUGGGAACGGCAUCCGGAACUGUCAGGCUAGAGUGCAGGAGAGGAAGGUAGAAUUCCCGGUGUAGCGGUGAAAUGCGUAGAGAUCGGGAGGAAUACCAGUGGCGAAGGCGGCCUUCUGGACUGACACUGACGCUGAGGUGCGAAAGCGUGGGUAGCAAACAGGAUUAGACACCCCUGUAGUC